GUUAAUGUAGCUUAUGUAAAGCAAAGCACUGAAAAUGCUUAGAUGGAUGCAAACAUCCCAUAAACA
rnacentral:tRNA from 1 species